AAUGUCGUAACAAGGUUUCCGUAGGUGAACCUGCGGAAGGAUCAUUAAAUGAGAAAAUGGGCUUCGGUCCUGACCUCCAAGCCCUUUGUUUACCUUACCACUGUUGCCUCGGCGGGUCGUCGACGCCCUUUACGGGGACGCCGCCGUCGGGCCCUUCAAAUCGCUUUCGAGUGCCCAGCCGCCAGGGCCCAAAUCUAAAAUUUCUUUGUAAACCCAGUCUUUCUAAGAGUAAUUCAAUACUUCAAAA
rnacentral:misc_RNA from 1 species